GAAACACCUAAUAUUGUUUUAUAGAACUCUAUUUUAUGCCAAGAAUAAUUCUAGGCUCUUGGGACAUAUCAGAGGACUAAAGAGACAAAACUCUCUGCCCUCCUGAGAUUUGUUUCUUUACAGUGAUGCGUUCAAAUCCUACCUUUGCCUCUGACUGGCCAUGAUACCUUGCAUAAGACAUUUAAACCUUUCCUGUCACAGUUUCCUUGUCUCUAAUGUGGAGGUUAUAAAAGAAAUUGCUUCCUUAAGGUCCGUUGAGAAUUAAUGACUUAUAUCAUAGAAAGGGACUGGAACAAUAUUUAGCACACAGGAAGAGCUGUAAACAUGUUGGUUAUUAUCAUUAUUGCCCGACAAAGCAUGUGAGUCACAAACUCGAAAUCAAAACCUCAAUCCCCUUGUGCAACUUGCCAUUGUUCGCUGAAGACAAGUUGGGGCUGGGAUCAUAGGAGUAACUGAGUCAUUCCAGCUCCUCCAAUCCUGAGCAGCUUUCACAUUUCAACACUAAUGUGAAAUGAAGUGGCACCUGCAUCAAAAAGUGAAGAGGCUUCCACCAGCUUGGGAAACAAUUUGAUUUUAAUGGUUUCCCACAAGUAACAAGACUUCAGCUAAACUCGUCCUGGGGACUAGAAGUGCUUAGUAAAGUCCCCACUUGAUUUCACCAUCCUUGGUCUUAGAUCCAGAACACUAAAUCUACAUAGCAGGGAAACUGAACGUACCUGCUUGGUUCUGCUUUUAUCACUUCACAGCCCACACUACUUCUGGUCCUACCCCCACUUUCAAAAGCAGAAUGUCACCAAAAGUCCUCCAAUCUCCCCAGGAAAAGGUUCCAGUUUUUGAGUCAGAAUUUGAACUGCUGUUGAGUUUAGAGACUGAGAAGCUCUAGAGGAUAUGGGAUCAGCCCAGAGUACUGACUUGAAAGGAAAUAGCUCUCUUCUUUAUAAUGUAAUCUAGCAAGGAGAAAAGGUCAAUUUACUUAGUGAGACGUUCUGGGAGGAAAAAUUACUUUUUAAGGAGUUCUGAGAUUUUUAAAACAGUUUCCUUAAAAAUUUUCCCUUCCUUCUGUUUCUGAUGGAUCUCUUAUAUUCUGGAUUUGGAGUAUAGUUGAAAUGUCUAGGCUUGAUUGUUGGGAGAAAGGCACUGUCACGUUAGAGUGUGUGAAACAUGGGUCUCUAAGAAGGUAUGAUUAGCUCCCACUUUCUCAGUCCUUGGCAACAUGGCCAAGAAGAAGAGGAAAGUGGAUUAAUCCUUUAAAAAGCAUAGAAGAAGAGGUUAGAAAAGUUAGAAAGGUCAAGUGUCUUGGAAACUUUGAGUGGGAAGUCCAUCAUUUUAUCUUUAGGACACAAGGUAAUGAUGGCGAUGAUGACAAUGGUCAUGAUGAUGAUGAUGAUGGUGAUGAUGAUGAUGUACUAUGAUCACAUAAAAGCCUUUCAUCUGCAGGCUCAAAGUGCAACACAACCACUAAUUAAUCCUGAAGGCAAGGUAGGCAAAUAUCAUUACCUCCAAUUUGCAAACUAGGAAUCCAGGCAGGAGGAAAUUAAACCCUUAACCAAGGUCAUCUCAGAGUGAAGACUAGAAAUGAAAUGAAGACUCCCUGCCUCCUUACUUUCCACUGGCCACCUCAAAGGUGGCUACCGAAGGGCUUGCUUUUAUUCCACAGGCAGAGCCAGCUCCUUGCUGCAUCUGACCCUUUUCUUUACAGAGUUCAGUGAGGGCAGGGGAGAGACCUUAUAGAAUGAUGUCUCCACUACAGACUGGUUUUGAGAACUGCCACAUCUCCAACCAUGGAAGCAGAAGUGUGGAAGGCUGAAGGAGUGAAGGGCCUGACGUGCUUCCCAUCUUUCUACCUCUGGCAGUCACUGCAGGGCUACAUGCUAAAGACAGCAAAGCUAAAGAACGUAUAUUCCUGUGUCCCCCACUUGGCAGGGAAUCACCAAGUAACAUCCACAUUAGACUUCAGGUCUACAGGUGUGGAUGAGAAACAUCUGGCCAGGAAACCAGGCUGCCAGAAUCCCCGGAGUAAGGGCACUCAGCCACGCCAUCAGGAAAGAGGAAGCUCCUCAGCAGUAUUCUGGCCAGCACUCAAAUUCUUCAAGUUUGCAAACCAGGGAACUGCUUCAUGCACCUGCCCUGCCAAGGGUCUUCACAAUGAGGAAGAUUACAUCUCUGAUUUCCUAA